AACGCAUCUUGCACCCUUUGGCAUUCCGAAGGGUAUGCCUGUUUGAGUGUCUUUAACGACCAUCGACGCCCACCGUGAUCGCGGUGGACGUCGGACGUGAGCGCUGCCGUGCGACUUUGUUUUCGCCGGCUCGCUUGAAAAGCGUUAAGCCCGGCCUUCAGCGGUCUGACUCUGUCAGGGUUGGUGUGGUAGAGCUCCCCUUCGGGUUGUGAAUCGCCUCCCAUGACGGACGUGAACCCUUGAGCCGCGUGCUUCAUACGUGUCCGCGUUCAACGCGGAACUCUUGAAUCGGACCUCAAAUCAGGUAGGACUACCCGCUGAACUUAA
rnacentral:misc_RNA from 1 species